rnacentral:rRNA from 1 species
CAUGCAGUCGAGCGGCAGCGGAAAGUAGCUUGCUACUUUGCCGGCGAGCGGCGGACGGGUGAGUAAUGUCUGGGAAACUGCCUGAUGGAGGGGGAUAACUACUGGAAACGGUAGCUAAUACCGCAUAACGUCGCAAGACCAAAGAGGGGGACCUUCGGGCCUCUUGCCAUCAGAUGUGCCCAGAUGGGAUUAGCUAGUAGGUGGGGUAACGGCUCACCUAGGCGACGAUCCCUAGCUGGUCUGAGAGGAUGACCAGCCACACUGGAACUGAGACACGGUCCAGACUCCUACGGGAGGCAGCAGUGGGGAAUAUUGCACAAUGGGCGCAAGCCUGAUGCAGCCAUGCCGCGUGUAUGAAGAAGGCCUUCGGGUUGUAAAGUACUUUCAGCGGGGAGGAAGGCGUUGAGGUUAAUAACCUCAGCGAUUGACGUUACCCGCAGAAGAAGCACCGGCUAACUCCGUGCCAGCAGCCGCGGUAAUACGGAGGGUGCAAGCGUUA